rnacentral:rRNA from 1 species
AUUGAACGCUGGCGGCAGGCCUAACACAUGCAAGUCGAGCGGAUGAAGGGAGCUUGCUCCUGGAUUCAGCGGCGGACGGGUGAGUAAUGCCUAGGAAUCUGCCUGGUAGUGGGGGAUAACGUCCGGAAACGGGCGCUAAUACCGCAUACGUCCUGAGGGAGAAAGUGGGGGAUCUUCGGACCUCACGCUAUCAGAUGAGCCUAGGUCGGAUUAGCUAGUUGGUGGGGUAAAGGCCUACCAAGGCGACGAUCCGUAACUGGUCUGAGAGGAUGAUCAGUCACACUGGAACUGAGAGACGGGCCAGACUCCUACGGGAGGCAGCAGUGGGGAAUAUUGGACGAUAGGCGAAAGCCUGAUCCAGCCAUGCCGCGUGUGUGAAGAAGGUCUUCGGAUUGUAAAGCACUUUAAGUUGGGAGGAAGGGCAGUAAGUUAAUACCUUGCUGUUUUGACGUUACCAACAGAAUAAGCACCGGCUAACUUCGUG